UGGCCCACUAUGACGUUGCCAUGUCAAUUAAUGAGUCCAUGUAGGAACUAGUCAGCAUGCCACCUAAUACUACGGACCCGCCCCAAAAGUUAACCCGACCCACCCUAAUUUUUCCCUAAAUAAUACCAUCAAUGACUGAUUGACUAAAAUGAUUAGGGCUCAUUUGUCUCACUCACUUUGUCAGCUUGAAAGAGAAAGAGAUAUGCGGAUCUCCCAUUGAUGUGGUUCUGGAAGGGAAAUCUACUUCUUCCUAAGCUUCCAACAAUGGUUAAUGUGCAUUUGAAGUUUAUUCAUAGUGGACAGUGGUUAUUUGAGCCACAACUAAAUUACUCAGGCUUUCUUGUUCACGGUAAGAAAGACUAGGACUCUGACUUGCUUUGUUUCUUGAUUUACUGGCUGAAUGUAAUUGUAACUUUGGGUAUAUUGGGGUGCAACAACUCAUAGUGAAAGGUCUUUCUAAUAGAUACUAUGAAGUAGAAGGAGAUGAUGAGAUUAGGACUUUA